rnacentral:rRNA from 1 species
CCUACGGGAGGCAGCAGUGGGGAAUAUUGCACAAUGGGGGAAACCCUGAUGCAGCGACGCCGCGUGAGUGAAGAAGUAUUUCGGUAUGUAAAGCUCUAUCAGCAGGGAAGAAAAAAGACGGUACCUGACUAAGAAGCCCCGGCUAACUACGUGCCAGCAGCCGCGGUAAUACGUAGGGGGCAAGCGUUAUCCGGAUUUACUGGGUGGAAAGGGAGCGUAGACGGUGCGUCAAGUCUGAAGUGAAAGCCCGGGGCUUAACCCCGGGACUGCUUUGGAAACUGGCGCGCUAGAGUGCUGGAGAGGUAAGUGGAAUUCCUAGUGUAGCGGUGAAAUGCGUAGAUAUUAGGAGGAACACCAGUGGCGAAGGCGGCUUACUGGACAGUAACUGACGUUGAGGCUCGAAAGCGUGGGGAGCAAACAGGAUUAGAUACCCCAGUAGUC